rnacentral:rRNA from 1 species
UACGUAGGGGGCGAGCGUUGUCCGGAUUUAUUGGGCGUAAAGAGCGUGUAGGCGGUUCGGUAAGUCUGUCGUGAAAUCCUGAGGCUCAACCUCGGGCGUGCGAUGGAUACUGCCGGGCUAGAGUACCAAAGAGGGUCGCGGAAUUCCCGGUGUAGAGGUGAAAUUCGUAGAUAUCGGGAGGAACACCGGUGGCGAAGGCGGCGACCUGGGUGGAUACUGACGCUGAGGCGCGAAAGCGUGGGGAGCAAACAGG